rnacentral:lncRNA from 1 species
UUGCCUCUCCAGUGCUGAAUCCUCUGUACGAUGCAAAGGCCGAGUCUCAGAUCAAUGCGUGGUGCGCCGAGUUUCUGAAGUUGCAACCUGGAAGCGAGAAAGCUGUCUUUGUUCAAGAAAGCAGGCUUGGAUUGCUCCCGGCUUAUGGUUACCCCAGCAUUCCAUACGAGAAGAUUGUUCCGGUUGCAAAGUUCUUCGCUUGGUACUUUCAUGCAGAUGACAUUCUGGAUAGCCCGGAGAUCUCCUCGUCGGACAUGAGGAAUGUGGCAACUGCAUACAAGAUGGUUUUAAAGGGAAAAUUCGACGAGGCCACGCUUCCAGUGAAAAAUCCGGAGCUGCUGAGGCAAAUGAAGAUGUUAUCUGAGGUCUUGGAAGAAUUGUCCCUCCAUGUAGUGGAUGAAUCAGGCCGAUUCGUGGAUGCUCUGACCAAGGUGAUCGACAUGUUUGAGAUUGAAUCGAGCUGGCUUCGCAAGCAAAUCAUUCCCAACUUGGAUACAUACCUCUGGCUGAGAGAGAUCACAUCUGGUGUGGCUCCUUGCUUUGCUCUGAUUGAUGGUUUGCUGCAACUUAGGCUGGAGGAGCGUGGCGUGCUGGAUCAUCCUCUCAUACGCAAGGUUGAGGAGAUUGGGACGCACCACAUUGCGCUCCACAAUGACAUGAUCUCGUUCAGGAAGGAGUGGGCGAAAGGAUACUACCUCAACGCCGUGCCCAUUCUCGCCAGCAAUUGUAAGUGUGGCUUGAACGAGGCAAUUGGCAAGGUUGCGAGCAUGGUGGAGGAUUUGGAGAAGGAUUUCGCCCAGACAAAGCAUGAGAUCGUUUCAAGUGGGCUUGCCAUGAAGCAAGGAGUCAUGGACUAUGUGGACGGGAUAGAGGUGUGGAUGGCCGGAAGCGUAGAAUGGGCAUGGACGAGCGCUAGAUACCAUGGAAUUGGGUGGAUCCCUCCUCCAGAAAAAUCAGCGACCUUCCAACUCUAGAUUGUUGCUCAAAUAGUAAAUAAUAAUUUCUCUCAUGGAGUGUUUUAGAAAUUCAUAUCUAAGCAGUGUUUUCGUCCUGAACAAGCAAAUUGAAAUGCACGGUAGAUGUGGUAACAUCAAGCACGCAGCUCAGAUCUUCCAUGCUAUGGCCAAGAGGGACAAGUUCAGCUGGGAUCUUUUGCUGGUUGCCUACUGCAAAAACGGGCACUUUGAUGAAGCGCGAAGGUUCUUCAGCUGCAUGCCGUGCUGGAGCCUUGUGUCAUUUACUACUAUGAUUUCUGUUGCCUCCCAGAGAGGCCAAAUGCAAGAAAUACAAUCCGUUACAAACUUGAUGCCAGAGCACGAUCUUUUCUCUGUAAACGCGGUGCUUUUUGCAUUUGCCGAAAAUGGGCAUCUUGAUUUUGCCAAGGUAGUCUUUAGCAAAAUGCCUGCUCGCAACUUGGUGUCGUGGACGACGAUGCUGGGGGCUUUAUCUCAGCUCGCGGAUGUGGAAAGCACUUUUGAAGAGAUGCCGGAGCACGAUGUCGUCUCGUGCACUUGCGCAAUUGCAGCAUUCUCCCGUCACGGGCAUCUGGAGUCUUCUCUGGAGCUCUUCCACGCCAUGCGUGUGAGGAAUCUCUCGACUUGCACGGCAAUCCUCUCCGGCUACGUCCACUGCGGCCUCCUGAAAGAGUCUGAGCGCUUCUUUCACGAUCAGAUGCCACAGCACGAUCUUGUCUCCGUCACAACGCUGCUCGUCGCCUACACCCAAAGCCAACGCCUUGAGGAAGCCAGCUGCCUCUUUGAUUCUCUUCCGUACGUAGAUGCCGUGUGUUGGAACGCCAUAGCCACGGGAUUUUCCCAGUGCGGCCUCCUGGACGAAACCACGAAAAUCCUCGACAAAAUGCCGGCAUGGAAUCUUGCAACCUGGAACACGCUGCUAACAUCACACUCCUUGCAAGGGAAUCUUACCGGGGCUAUAAGAGUCUUUCACGAAAUGCCAGACAAGAACUUGGUGUCGUGGAACGCCAUGCUCUCGGCAUAUGCCCAAAACGGGCAUCUUUCUCUUGCAAGGAAGGUGUUCCAAACGAUGCCCUUGCGCAGCGUUGAAUCCUUCAGUGCAAUGCUGACCGCAUAUGCCCAAGCCGGCAGCCCCAGCGACGUGUUUGAUUCCUUCGAAGAGAUGAAGCUAGUGGAGAUGCCCGACGAUUCCUGCUUCACUUUGGUGCUGAUUGCGAGCAGUCAAGUUGGCGAGCCCAAAGUCGGCGGCUCCUACUUCAGCUCCAUGCGUCUGGAUUACGGGGUGGUGGCGAGGAAGCAACACUACUGCUGCAUCGUGGACAUGCUGGGGCGAGCGGGAUACCUGGAUGCGGCGGAAGAGCUUGCGCAAACCAUGCCUUUUCUUCCCAACUCGUGGGACUGGACGUCCAUGCUAAGUUCUUCCAGACGCGAUAGAAUCUGGAAAAACGGUGCUCGAGUGACGAAACGAGCUUUGCUUUCGGGCCCCAGCGAUGGAGCUGCUCUUGUGCUGCUCGCAAACUCACGCUCCUCUUGAUUCUUACUACUUUUCCGAAACUUUACCUUUAUAGAAUGGGUUAUCGAAUUUGGGCUCAUAAUGGAGCAAGAAGCUCAAUCGUUCUUCGAUUCGGCCCCGCCUCUCCGAUGGACGAUGUGGUCGCGAGCGUGAAUCGCUUCUUGGAUAUCUGGAAGGCGGCAUCGGCCAUCGGCCAAGGUUUAUCCUUACUAGCAUUUCUCAUAUUUUGGAGCCGAAUCGCGUGAUUCUAGAGGAGGCGCAUUGCCGUUGUUACAUCCGGGGGCACGACCGUGCCCUUGGAGCGACGAUGCGUUAGGGUCAUUGACAAUUUCAGCUCGGGGAGUCGAUCGGGAGUCGAUGAGCAGCCUCCACAGAGUGCGUUAUUCUUUUCUACUCAUUCUUCUUUUAUGAUUUUUCUUUUUUUUUUUUUUUUUGCAAGGUACUUUUGGCUGCAUGCAAGAAUGUCUCGAGCCUGUGGAUGGAUCAAUCCGGGGUAAGUGAAAUCUGCCAUUUAUUUCUUCGAGAGUUUAACUCCUGCUUCGCAGUACGAGAAAAAUGGUUUGAUGUUGUGACUCGGGCAGUCACAGGACAUCAUUCUGUAAGCUCAGUUCUUGUUUCUCUUUUUGAGUUCUUAAGAAUCAAAACAGGCGGUGCUCCAGAAGAAGCUGUUGAAGCUCGAGUUCACUACGCUCUUCGAGUACCUCCAAGUAAGAAAUGUGCCGCGCAAACACUGGUUUCUAUGACGGUUUUUCGUGGCAGAUUUUAGAGAUUGUUGGAGCUGCCAUGAAACCAGUUGGCAGGCAUGCUAUGUUUUACUUUGCAGCGGCUGUCUCUGACUUCUACAUCCCUUGGAACUCCAUGGUAAGAACUUCUCGUCUUCUCUUGUUUUGUUUUCGGUGGAAAUCUCAAAAAUAAUCUUCUCUAAGAUCCUGUCAAAACUAUCUCACCGAAAAAUUAAAUGUUUAAAGUGUCAGAUAUAUUUAGGUUAAAUAUAUUCAGGGAAGAAGCUCAAAGCAAUCAUUUCCUUAAAUGAACGAAACCAUUUUUAGGGUUGGCAGUCCAGGAGGAGCGUGGGGUUUUGAUAAAUUUAUAUGGAAUAAUAUACUCUAGGAAAACUAGUGUUGAUUAUACUUAUAUAGUGGGUGAUAAUAUAAGAAUUAGAGAGUCUAAAGUUAGAGUAAAUAUUGAUGGAUAAAUAGAGUAAAUUAGUGAAGUAUUUAAGAGCUAACUUUAAUUCUAACCUGUCAGAAAGAUUUACUUAUAAGCUUUUUCUAAAUUCCUUGUAUGUGAGUUUUAAUCCAAGAUCAAACAAUAUAUAAAGCUUUUCACUUGGGUUCUUUUAUUUAGAGUGUAAAAAAAGUUUAAAGCAUUCUUAUGCAUUUCUAAGUAAUGCAGAUAAAUCUUAGAUAAAGCUUUUCAAUGAACUCUAAAACAAAAUUUUAGGAAUUAGCAGUUACAAAAUCUUUAUAUUUUUUUAUUCAGAUAUGUGUUUGUUAGUUUUAAUGAGUGUUUUGAGAGUAUUUGAGUGAGAUUUUUAAAUUUACUUUUUUACAAGAUUGUUAUAAAUGUUUUUAGAGUUUGGUUUCAUGAUUUUUAGAGUAGUGUACAAAAAGUUUAAAAGUUUUUUUUAAAUCUUUUUGUUAGUUUAUGCUUAUAAGGAAUUUUUAAAAGUUUGAGAGAUUUUUCUUAUAUAUUUAUCCCUUGUAUCAUCUUAUCGUUUAGUUUAGUGCCCUUGAGUAUAUAUAGCUAUUUGAUGUCUCAUGUAUAAUCAUCUCUUUUGAUUGAGAAACUUUUACUUGAAUGGAGAACAACAUCUAAUAUAUAGUAAGUGUAUAAGAGGUUAUAAAGUGUUAUAAAAAGUGAUUUUAAAAUCCUUGAGUGUUUAGCAAGCAUAAAACCUUGUGAUUGAGCUCUCCAAGCUCUAGACUAACAUCAUAGUAUAUACAUAGUUUUUGUAUUUGGCGCAUUUUAGAAGUUUAAUGUCUAUUCAUAUGCAUUAGUCAAGUGUUGUUGCUAUAUAAACUCCUCUUUGGACACAUAUAACUUAAAGGAAUUCUUAAGGUUUAUAUGCUAGUAAUUAUUAGACAAUGUUGUUGGUAAAUGAGUCUUCAUCAUUUAUAAUAGAUUCCAAAGAAGAGCACAAUUAAAACAUUACACCAAUGGUGGCAACUAUUCAUAUCCUUUAUAGGGCAAUGGACUUCCCAAAGUUCUAUCUUGGAUCAAGUAUUUUGGCUUACAAUCAUAUUAAUCAAUUUCAAACUUACUUAAGAUACAACAAAAUCACCAAAGAUGCUUUGUCCCAAGAAUUAUUCUUGAGAUCCUUAAAAACAAUAGUAGUAGAUUGGGCAUCUUUCUUGCUUCCAAAUGAAUGAUGGUCAUUGUCUACAAUGAUUGACAAAUUUCUCAAACAAUUUAGAAUGGAGAAAACUAACUAACAACUCUACAUAAACUGUUUUAAGUUUGGCAAAUGCUGCAAAAGAAUAUCAAUAACUACACUAUCCAAUUUAAAAAGUAUUAGUGUGCAUGUUUGCUAUAGACAGAUGAGAAGCCCAUGGUGUCAGCAUUCAUCCAAAACUCAAGCUUGAAGUGCAACACAAAGUCCUCAAGUGCCAACAUGAAACUUGCAAACUAACAUUUAGCUAUGCAUUAAAGGACAUGCUCUUUGAGCUUGGCAUGCACCAUGACAUCCACUCUUAACCAGGCUUCCAGGCCCAAAUGUGUGCCAUUCCCAAUCUACCACAUGUUGUUAAAGACAAGAUGCCCACAGUGAUUGAGUUGGUGCUUAAUGAGCUUAAAGAGCAUUGAGCAUUUGUGCAACAGUAGACUCAAUAGCAAGAGAAGCUUGUGGAGGAGCUACAAUCUCUUAGGAUGUAGACUGAAACUCGGUGGCAUCAUUACUGGUGCAAGAAAUAUAACGUUGAUACACACAACAUUGCAAGAUGUUGGAACUCCAUCUAGAACUUUGGCUUUAGUGACCACAGUGAGUCCAAUGACAACCACUUGCAAACAACACAACCCUAGCUUCGUCCUCCAUAGAUUAUCAUGAGAAUGACAGUCUGGGGCAUUGAGCCAAACAUGGUGACUUACAACAGCUUGAUCCAUGGCUUAUGCAUGACCAACGGGGUAGACUCCACACUUUUGCUGAUGGAAGAGAUGACAGCAACAGGGUGCCUUCCGGAUAUCAACACCUACAACACACUUAUUGAUGGCCUUUGCAAGACAGGAAGGGUGCCAGAAGCGAACAGGCUGUUUGGAGAAAUGAAGGCCAAGUUUUGCAACCCAGAUGUUAUCACGUACAGCUGCUUGAUUGGUGGGUUUUGUAAGCUAGAUAGGAUCAACAUGGCUUGCACGUUGUUCGAUGACAUGCUCAAGCAGGCAGCCCUCCCCGACGUCGUCACAUUCCCGACACUAGUGGAAGGAUACUGUAAUGCUGGACUGGUGGAUGACGCCGAGAGGCUUCUGGAAGAGAUGGUUGCUAGUGACUGCUCUCCAGACGUGUAUACGUACACAAGCCUGGUCGACGACUUCUGCAAAGUCAAAAGAAUGGUGGAGGCGCACAGAGUUCUCAAGCGAAUGGCCAAGGGGGGGUGUACAGGAGCUUGACCGGUGGCUUCUGUGGGACUGGGGACCUGGAAGAGGCUCACAAGAUGCUCGAGAGACUGGAGCACAACGAGAACCGUUGGAAAAUGGAUCUGCCAAUCCAUGCCUACCACAGGCCAUCCAACCAUAGCUCCGAUACCAUAUUGGAAAAUAUGGUCUACUAGACAGGCCAGGGAUUAAACCCAAGACCUCCUACACUAGUGCCAGGUGCUCUACCACUGAGCUACCUGCCCUGGUUGUGUGCAUGUUCAGCUUAGUUCUAACAAGAACUGCAAGGCAGAUAUGUUCGCGUACCGGAUGAUGAUGGACGGGCUGUGUAGAACCGGGAGAAUGAGCGCAGCUCUGGAGCUUCUCGAGGCCAUCAAGCAGAGUGGCACGCCUCCUCGCCACGAUAUCUAUGUGGCGUUGAUCAGGGGGCUGUGCCAGGGGAAAGAGCUCCGCAAAGCCAUGGAAGUUUUGGAAGAGAUGACGCUCUCAAGGAAAGGCAGGCCAAAUGCCAAGGCUUACAAGGCGGUGAUCCAGGAGCUAGCGAGAGAAGGGAGACACGAAAAGGCAAAUGCACUCUCAGACGAAUUACUUGGUAACAAAGGCCAGUAAAACGAGAUUUGUAAUCACAAAUCCGGAACAUUGUGUGAACACUAUCUGGGAUGUUUCCUAAGGUUUUUCGCAGAAAUCAGCAACCAUUCAACUAUUUAGUUUGAAUUUGCUUCUAAUUUUAUCUAUAAAAGCCCUCUUUCAGUGUUUAAAAUUCACUUAGGAACUCUUCUUUCAUGGCUCUUCCAUCCAUUGCGAGGAUUUUCGCAGCAGAGAAAAGCUAUUCCAUUCCACCAGUGUGUAAACUCCUUGCCUCUCCAGUGUUGAAUCCGCUGUACGAUGCAAAGGCCGACGCUCAGAUCGAUGCGUGGUGCGCGGAGUUUCUGAAGUUGCAACCUGGAAGCGAGAAAGCUGUGUUUGUUCAAGAAAGCAGGCUUGGAUUGCUCGCGGCUUAUGUUUACCCCAGCAUUCCAUACGAGAAGAUUGUUCCGGUUGCAAAGUUCUUCGCUUGGUUCUUUCUUGCAGAUGACAUUCUGGAUAGCCCGGAGAUCUCCUCGUCAGACAUGAGAUAUGUGGCAACUGCAUACAAGAUGGUUUUCAAGGGAAGAUUUGACGAGGCCACGCUUCCAGUGAAAAAUCCGGAGCUGCUGAGGCAAAUGAAGAUGUUAGCUGAGGUUUUGGAAGAACUGUCCCUCCAUAUAGUGGAUGAAUCAGGCCGAUUCGUGGAUGCUAUGACCAAGGUGCUCGACAUGUUUGAGAUUGAAUCGAGCUGGCUUCGCAAGCAAAUCCUUCCCAACCUGGAUACGUACCUCUGGCUGAGAGAGAUCACAUCUGGUGUGGCUCCUUGCUUUGCUCUGAUUGAUGGUUUACUGCAACUUAGGCUGGAGGAGCGUGGCGUGCUGGAUCAUCCUCUCAUACGCAAGGUUGAGGAGAUUGGGACGCACCACAUUGCGCUCCACAAUGACUUGAUCUCGUUCAGGAAGGAGUGGGCGAAAGGAAACUAC